UACAGAGGUCUCAAGCGUUGUUCGGAUUCAUUGGGCGUAAAGGGUGCGUAGGCGGCGCGGUAAGUCGGAUGUGAAAUCCCCCAGGCUCAACUUGGGAACUGCAUCCGAUACUGGAUGGCUUGAAUUCGGGAGAGGGAUGCAGAAUUCCAGGUGUAGCGGUGAAAUGCGUAGAUAUCUGGAGGAAUACCGGUGGCGAAGGCGGCAUCCUGGACCGACAUUGACGCUGAGGAGCGAAAGCUAGGGGAGCAAACGGG
rnacentral:rRNA from 1 species